rnacentral:rRNA from 1 species
AACAUCGCCUCUUGACUUCCAUAAGAGGUCCAGCCUGCCCAGUGAUACUAUUAAACGGCCGCGGUACCCUGACCGUGCGAAGGUAGCAUAAUAACUUGUUCUUUAAAUGGGGACUAGCAUGAACGGCAUCACGAGGGUCUCACUGUCUCCUUUUUCUAAUCAGUGAAACUGAUCUCCCCGUGAAGAAGCGGGGAUAAAAAUAUAAGACGAGAAGACCCCAUGGAGCUUUAAACCCAAUAGACACCUCUGACUAAUCUUACCCAAAACACUUCUUAAGUUCUGUCUAUUGGUUUUAGGUUGGGGUGACCACGGAGUACAAUAAAUCCUCCAUGACGUACGGGACUUCCCUCUUAUCCUUGAACCACAUUUCUAAGAAUCAACAAAUUGACGUUUGAUGAUCCAAUAUAUUGAUCAACGGACCAAGUUACCCUGGGGAUAACAGCGCAAUCCAUUUUAAGAGCCCCUAUCGCCAAAUGGGUUUACGACCUCGAUGUUGGAUCAGGGUAUCCUAGUGGUGCAGCCGCUACUAAUGGUUUGUUUGUUCAACAAUUAAAACCCUACGUGA